ACUAUUCGCCAGAGUACUACUCGCAACUGCCUAAAACUCAAAGGACUUGGCGGUGCUUCACAUCCACCUAGAGGAGCCUGUUCUAUAAUCGAUAAACCCCGAUAGACCUUACCAACCCUUGCCAAUUCAGCCUAUAUACCGCCAUCUUCAGCAAACAACA
rnacentral:rRNA from 1 species